rnacentral:rRNA from 1 species
GUGAGGAAUUUUCCGCAAUGGGCGAAAGCCUGACGGAGCAAUGCCGCGUGAAGGAUGAAGGCCUAUGGGUUGUAAACUUCUUUUCUCAGAAAAGAAUUAUGACGGUAUCUGAGGAAUAAGCAUCGGCUAACUCCGUGCCAGCAGCCGCGGUAAUACGGAGGAUCCAAGCGUUGUCCGGAUUUAUUGGGUUUAAAGGGUGCGUAGGCGGAUCUUUAAGUCAGUGGUGAAAGCCUGCAGCUUAACUGUAGAAUUGCCAUUGAAACUGAAGAUCUUGAAUGUGGUUAAAGUAGGCGGAAUGUAUCAUGUAGCGGUGAAAUGCUUAGAUAUGAUACAGAACACCGAUAGCGAAGGCAGCUUGCUGAACCAUUAUUGACGCUGAGGCACGAAAGCGUGGGGAGCGAACAGGAUUAGAAACCCUAGUAGUCC